rnacentral:rRNA from 1 species
UACGUAGGGGGCAAGCGUUAUCCGGAUUUACUGGGUGUAAAGGGAGCGUAGACGGCAAGGCAAGUCUGAUGUGAAAACCCAGGGCUUAACCCUGGGACUGCAUUGGAAACUGUCUGGCUCGAGUGCCGGAGAGGUAAGCGGAAUUCCUAGUGUAGCGGUGAAAUGCGUAGAUAUUAGGAAGAACACCAGUGGCGAAGGCGGCUUACUGGACGGUAACUGACGUUGAGGCUCGAAAGCGUGGGGAGCAAACAGGAUUAGAUACCCGAGGGCUGACUGACU